rnacentral:misc_RNA from 1 species
AUCUCGUCACCACCCCAACCCAAGUCUGCUUCGCGUAGGCUCGGGCUGGUGCGCGGUGGAUGUUGGCCUCCCGUUCCCGCAGCGGCGCGGAUGGCCCAAAUGCGAGUCCUCGGAUAAGGGACGUCACGACUACAGGUGGUUGAAUUCUCAUUCAUUCUAUCUCAUUAGCCUUGACGGCCCCCGACGGAUCUCAACAAAACCUAGAGCCCCAUCCCACUCACUUGUGAUUGGAGUGGAGCCUUCGA